rnacentral:rRNA from 1 species
AGUGAACGCUGGCGGUAGGCCUAACACAUGCAAGUCGAACGGCAGCACAGUAAGAGCUUGCUCUUACGGGUGGCGAGUGGCGGACGGGUGAGGAAUACAUCGGAAUCUACUUUUUCGUGGGGGAUAACGUAGGGAAACUUACGCUAAUACCGCAUACGACCUACGGGUGAAAGCAGGGGAUCUUCGGACCUUGCGCGAUUGAAUGAGCCGAUGUCGGAUUAGCUAGUUGGCGGGGUAAAGGCCCACCAAGGCGACGAUCCGUAGCUGGUCUGAGAGGAUGAACAGCACACACGGGACUGAAGGAGGGGCCCGACCCCAUGGGGGAGGAGCAGGGGGGAAAUUUUGGAGAGGGGCGGCAGUCGGGAACAACCCACACGGGGGGGAGAAAAAAGGCUUUGGGGUUGUAAGCCCUUUUUGUGGGGAAGGAAAAAAAAAGGUUUACUACCGGGUGGUUAGGACGGUACCAAAAGAAUAAGCCCCGGCUAAUUUCGUG